GCCUGCCCACUGACAAAAGUUAAAGGGCCGCGGUAUUCUGACCGUGCGAAGGUAGCAUAAUCAUUAGUCUUUUAAUUGGAGGCUUGUAUGAAUGGUCGGACAAAAAAUAAGCUGUCUCAGCUGUAAAAAUUGAAUUUAACUUUUAAGUGAAAAGGCUUAAAUAGUUUAGAGGGACGAUAAGACCCUAUAAAGCUUUAUAACUAGCUGAUUAAAUUAUAAAUUAUUAGUAUAAACUUAGUUUAAUUGGUGCUUAUUUUGUUGGGGCGACAAGAACAUAAAAUUGUAACUGUUCUUUUAUAGUUUAUAUCAUUAAUGUUUGGUAAAUAAUUGAUCCUUUGUUAAAGAUUAAAAGAUUAAGUUACUUUAGGGAUAACAGCGUAAUCUUCUUUGAAAGUCCAUAUCGACAAGAAGGGUUGCGACCUCGAUGUUGAAUUAAGGUUACUUUGUGGUGCAGCAGCUACA
rnacentral:rRNA from 1 species